UACGUAGGGGGCGAGCGUUGUCCGGAUUCAUUGGGCGUAAAGAGCUCGUAGGCGGUUUGGCAAGUCGGGUGUGAAAUCUCCGGGCUCAACUCGGAGAGGCCACUCGAGACUGCUAUGACUAGAGUCCGGUAGGGGCCAUGGAAUUCCUGGUCGUAGCGGUGAAAUGCGCCAGAUAUCAGGAGGAACACCGGUGGCGAAGGCGGUGGUCUGGGCCGGCACUGACGCUGGAGGAGCGAAAGCGUGGGAGCAAGCAACGGG
rnacentral:rRNA from 1 species